GCAUCUUCUUGUUAUUAAAGAAUUUCGAUAACCGAUGGGGAUGCGUUCCAUUAGUUUGUUGGCGGGGUAACGGCCCACCAAGACAUCGAUGGAUAGGGGUUCUGAGAGGAAGGUCCCCCACAUUGGAACUGAGACACGGUCCAAACUCCUACGGGAGGCAGCAGUGAGGAAUAUUGGUCAAUGGACGAGAGUCUGAACCAGCCAAGUAGCGUGAAGGAUGACUGCCCUAUGGGUUGUAAACUUCUUUUAUAUGGGAAUAAAGUGAGCCACGUGUGGCUUUUUGUAUGUACCAUACGAAUAAGGAUCGGCUAACUCCGUGCCAGCAGCCGCGGUAAUACGGAGGAUCCGAGCGUUAUCCGGAUUUAUUGGGUUUAAAGGGAGCGUAGGCGGACUAUUAAGUCAGCUGUGAAAGUUUGCGGCUCAACCGUAAAAUUGCAGUUGAUACUGGUCGUCUUGAGUGCAGUAGAGGUAGGCGGAAUUCGUGGUGUAGCGGUGAAAUGCUUAGAUAUCACGAAGAACUCCGAUUGCGAAGGCAGCUUACUGGACUGUAACUGACGCUGAUGCUCGAAAGUGUGGGUAUCAAACAGGAUUAGGUACCCUGGUAGUCCACACAGUAAAAGAUGAAUACUCGCUGUUUGCGAUAUACAGCAAGCGGCC
rnacentral:rRNA from 1 species